CCUACGGUGUGCAGCAGUGGGGAAUAUUGCACAAUGGGGGAAACCCUGAUGCAGCGACGCCGCGUGAGCGAAGAAGUAUUUCGGUAUGUAAAGCUCUAUCAGCAGGGAAGAAAAUGCCGGUACCUGAGUACGAAGCUCCGGCUAAAUACGUGCCAGCAGCCGCGGUCAUACGUAUGGAGCAAGCGUUAUCCGGAUUUACUGGGGGUACAGGGAGCGUAGGCGGCCUGCAAAGUCUGAUGUGAAAUACCGGGGAGCAACCCCGGGGCUGCAUUGGAACCUGGCAGGCUGGAGUGCCGGAGAGGCAGGCGGAAUUCCUAGUGUAGCGGUGAAAUGCGUAGAUAGUAGGAGGAACACCAGUGGCGAAGGCGGCCGGCUGGACGGUGACUGACGCUGAGGCUCGAAAGCGUGGGGAGCAAACAGGAUUAGAUACCCCAGUAGUC
rnacentral:rRNA from 1 species